GACGAACGCUGGCGGCGUGCUUAACACAUGCAAGUCGAACGGAAAGGCCCUGCUUGCAGGGUACUCGAGUGGCGAACGGGUGAGUAACACGUGGGUGAUCUGCCCUGCACUUCGGGAUAAGCCUGGGAAACUGGGUCUAAUACCGGAUAGGAGCCAUUUUUAGUGUGAUGGUUGGAAAGUUUUUUCGGUGUAGGAUGAGCUCGCGGCCUAUCAGCUUGUUGGUGGGGUAAUGGCCUACCAAGGCGGCGACGGGUAGCCGGCCUGAGAGGGUGGACGGCCACAUUGGGACUGAGAUACGGCCCAGACGCCUACGGGAGGCAGCAGUGGGGAAUAUUGCACAAUGGGCGCAAGCCUGAUGCAGCGACGCCGCGUGGGGGAUGACGGCCUUCGUGUUGUAAACUCCUUUCGCUAGGGACGAAGCUUUUUGUGACGGUACCUAGAGAAGAAGCACCGGCUAACUACGUG
rnacentral:rRNA from 1 species